rfam:Toxocara canis scaffold1252, whole genome shotgun sequence.
GCCGGCUUAGCUCAGUGGUUAGAGCGUCUGUCUUGUAAACAGAAGGUCGCAGGUUCGAUCCCUGCAUUCGGCA